AUUGAUACUUGGCCUUUUGGCUAAUAUCACGUGUAGUAUCUGUUCUCAUCAGUUGAAUAUCUGACACGUCCUUUAUCUGAGGACAAUUUAGUAAAUGAAUUUUUAGGAUAGGGAGAUAGAAUAGGAGCUUGCUCCCCCCAUUCCAUCCAUCCACCUGGUAUUGCAGUAUCUCCAGGAAAGGGACUGCUA
ensembl:snRNA U2 U2 spliceosomal RNA